UGUCUCCCAGCCUGAGGUGCAGUGCUGCAUCUCUGGUCAGUUGGGAGUCUGAGAUGAAGCACUGUAGCUCGGGAAGGGGGAAGU
rnacentral:pre_miRNA from 1 species